UACCUGAAAGCGAAGUAUUUGCACUAAGUUUCGGCCUUAGCCUUGAGAACUAUCUCUCGGGUAA
rnacentral:tRNA from 1 species